rnacentral:rRNA from 1 species
CAGUCGCCACGGGAAUACGUAGGUGGCAAGCGUUGUCCGGAAUUAUUGGGCGUAAAGGGCUCGCAGGCGGUUUCUUAAGUCUGAAGUGAAAGCCCCCGGCUCAACCGGGGAGGGUCAUUGGAAACUGGGAAACUUGAGUGCAGAAGAGGAGAGUGGAAUUCCACGUGUAGCGGUGAAAUGCGUAGAGAUGUGGAGGAACACCAGUGGCGAAGGCGACUCUCUGGUCUGUAACUGACGCUGAGGAGCGAAAGCGUGGGGAGCGAACAGGAUUAGAUACCCCAGUAGUCCCUGUCUCUUAUAC